UAUUAAAAAUCGUGGGCGUGGCUGCGUUUUAGCUGAUACAGCAAGCAAUAAUUGCUGGUCCCAGUCCUUAACGUACCUGAGAAUGCUUUCCUAUGAUAAUUAUGAUUCUCCUAAUAAUAAUUAUGGACAAUGCCUAAUCUGGGGGUCUCUCCUAUAAUAAUCUCUCCUAUAAUAAUAUGGGGUAUGCUUAAUAUUAUCUGAGGGCCUCUAUAGGAGAGAAUUUAGGAGAGAAUUUAUCCUAUUUGCACUAAAAGCAAUCAUUAAUUAUGCUUCAAAUUUGUAUGGUGAAAAAGGGACAAUUUAACUAAACAUCAAUGUCAAAAACUAAGCAUAGUUCAAGAGGAGUCCUCUCCAGCUGAAUGUGUGUCCUAGGAUCUUCCCCUAGGAUCUUCCCCUAAUUAUAACAAUGACACACAGAUUGCAAACACACAGAUUGCAAAACAUUAUAUGGUCCAGGCAUUUUCCAUAGAGCGACAGCUUUUAAAAGGUUGAGAUCGAAUGUUGAUGACAGUGCCGAAAAAUUGUGAAAGAACAUACAGAUUUUUGUUGGGCGGCUCCUGCUGUCUGCCAUGUGCUUGUCAGUGAGUAAGCCUCCUUUCAGUAGUAUCGACCAAACAGUAGUAUCGACCAAAUCCAAUACGACUAUCCGAGAUCAGAAUUUUAUAUAAAAAUAACUCAGUCUGAAUGUAUUCUACAUCUUAAUUGUUUGCACAUCCUCCUUAAUUCCUUAAUUAUGUAUAAUUAUAAAUCAUGUCUACUAUAGCUGAUUUUCUGCUGUCUGUGUCUGCACGUUAUGUGACCUUCUGGGUCUGUGUGCAGUCUUUUUCACGAGCUCGGUUUUGCUGGUCUGUCCGUGCAGCACUCCUGGAAUGUGCACUUUCUGAAGGGCUGAUGUGAUGUGAUGACGAACGAGAUCAUACUAGCCGAACGAGAACAUACUAGAAGGUGAUGCGUCUCCAUUCCUUUCACAGAUAUUAUGUACAACGAUUACAAGCAUUCAUUCUCAACAUCUCUCCAUCUUCCAUCUUCCCACCAUCCUUCCAUCCUAGCUAUUUUCUGUGUCUGCAAAAGGUUUCAUCAACCACGGGUCUCCAAGAAUUACUAGUGGUACGUCCAAUGAUGAAUUAACAAACACACGAGCAUCAUGCACUUUUCCAAGGCCAACCAUCUAAAAAUAAUCCACUAGUCUGAUGCACUUUCUUUAGGUUUAAUUAUAGGUAUAAUGUGAUCCUCCAGGGAAUCCCCAGUAAUCCUUGCACUACAUCCUUCAUACUAUCUCCACACAUCAUACUAUCUCCACACACUUUGGUAAUAACUUAGCAAUAGCAGAACGACUGAUACCUGAUACCGAAUAACUGUGAUAAAAUUCUGUAUUGCUAAUCUCCAUAAGGUAGUACUGUAAGGGCAUCCAAACAGUGUCAAAUGUUUGUUUUGAGAUUCUCCUUCCACCACUCGUCUCCUGCCUUCACGGAAUACCACCAGUGUGUACUUACUCCACACAGUUCUGGUUCAAGGGGACCGGACCAUGCCAAUAGUGUUUGUGAAUCAGCUUCACAUAAUACUAGUGCUGUUAAUUUCCAAGUUCUUGCCCACUGCACGAAAUGAUUUUGCGCAUGCUCAUUGACCUGGCACAUGUUGCGAUCAUACAAAGUGGAUCAAGGUGCACAAAAUGAGCAUGAGUAAUCAAGAGUGAUCGUCACAGCAGCCUUCUACUUUGGCACCAUCAUUUGGCACCAUCAGUGUAGAUUUAUUUUUUGACACAACCUAUGUCGUACCUCCUCUGACUGGUAGGUUGAGAAUUUUGUAAAUUUAUAGUAGAGUUUAUGCUAGUUAAUAGUUAAGGUCUGAUUUUUGAGGAGCAUGUACUACAAUGGAGCAUGUACUACAAUAUAGUAUACUUUUCACAGCUAGACCAGUCGCCCAAAAUGGUUGGUUUUUGUUGCGUAGCAAUCCACAUUAUGACUGACAUCACCUGACAUCACAUGAGUACCAAAUAACGACAAGAUAAUUUGUGAUGUAACCUACGUCAACCUACGUCAGAAAAAAGCAUCAAAACGGACACCACUUUUGACAAAGAGACAAGUUAGUACAGAUGAAAAGCAGAUGAAAAGUAUACUAUUGUAGUUAGUACAUGCUCCGCAAAAAUCAGACCUUAACUAGCAUAACUCAAAAAAUAAAUGCCUAACAAUCAUUAUUUUGCUACUAUAAAUUUACAAAAUUCUUUUAACCUUGCACAACAAUCUUAACUCAAACAUUUAACUCAAACAUAUAAGAUAGUUUCAUGCCUAACAUAUUUUCAAUGUACACAUAUUCUAACAGCAUGAUGAUGUCACAGGUGGUGGUCCAAUGGAAGCACCAAUAGUUGAACAUUCACAAAAACGUCAUCCUAUAACAUAUUCAUCGUUAAAAUCAAUUUGUUGAAGUUGGAGCUUUCCGUGGGUCAUUUGGGUUCCUCGAUCUUCGUAGCCGGAAAUCUAUAGUUAUUUUACAGUACAACUACGGUGCACAAUAGCAUUAACACCCAGCUUAACCCUUUCCCGGCUUUGGACGACAUAUGUCGUCCAGCUGACCGAGAUUUUUCAAAAAUUUGCUGUGCUGGCUGUGUUGGAGCUAUGCGCACACUGUAGGUACCAGCACAUGCGCAUUGAGCUGCUCUUUCACAUGGUAUUUUCAACAUCUUGCUUUGAGGUACACUUUGUGCAGUACGGUCGAAAGAAAAGUGACCGUUUGAUGAUGACUUCAAGAUCUUUGUAGUACAACCUCAGUGGGGUUCUAGAGCUGCUAGACAGUGAGAAUAUCAAUCCUCAUGGCCUUGUAGAGUGAGAGGACAGUGACUGGGAUCAUAGCUAGGUAGGAAGCUACCUCAAGCUAAAAAAUAAAGAGCCUGAGGAGCCUGAAGGAGCUGGACCAAGUUUCUGGAUCUGGUGAAGAACGUUUCCCGGGAAAAGGGCGUCUGCUGAUACGACCUCGCAGAGAAGUUUCGGCAGAUCCUGAUCGAACUAUGUCACCGUGAGAACAUUGAGAACACUUACUUAGUGUCUAUAGCACUUUGUGCCUUCGUAUAAUAUUGUUUGUGUACAUAAUUGUGAAUGUUUGUAAACAA